rnacentral:rRNA from 1 species
ACCUACGGGAGGCAGCAGUGGGGAAUAUUGCGCAAUGGACGAAAGUCUGACGCAGCGACGCCGCGUGAGGGAUGAAGGUUUUCGGAUCGUAAACCUCUGUCAGGAGGGAAGAAAGCGCAUGGCGCCAAUCAGCCAUGCGUUGACGGUACCUCCAAAGGAAGCGCCGGCUAACUCCGUGCCAGCAGCCGCGGUAAUACGGAGGGCGCGAGCGUUAAUCGGAAUUACUGGGCGUAAAGCGCUCGUAGGCGGUAUGUCAAGUCAAGGGUGAAAUCCCCGCGCUCAACGCGGGAACUGCCUUUGAAACU